CAAGGGGAGCGGCAGACGGGUGAGUAACGCGUGGGAAUCUACCAUUUGCUACGGAACAACAGUUGGAAACGACUGCUAAUACCGUAUGUGCCCUAACGGGGAAAGAUUUAUCGGCAAAUGAUGAGCCCGCGUUGGAUUAGCUAGUUGGUGGGGUAAAGGCCUACCAAGGCGACGAUCCAUAGCUGGUCUGAGAGGAUGAUCAGCCACACUGGGACUGAGACACGGCCCA
rnacentral:rRNA from 1 species